rnacentral:rRNA from 1 species
GACGCAGGGCGCGAGCGUUGUCCGGAUUUAUUGGGCGUAAAGAGCUCGUAGGUGGUUCGGUAAGUCGGGUGUGAAACCUCCAGGCUCAACCUGGAGACGCCACCCGAUACUGCUGUGACUGGAGUCCGGUAGGGGAGCGUGGAAUUCCUGGUGUAGCGGUGAAAUGCGCAGAUAUCAGGAGGAACACCAGCGGCGAAGGCGGCGCUCUGGGCCGGUACUGACACUGAGGAGCGAAAGCGUGGGUAGCAAACAGG